CGAACGAACUCUGGUAUUGAUUGGUGCUUGCAUCAUGAUUUACAUUUGAGUGAGUGGCGAACUGGUGAGUAACACGUGGGAAACCUGCCCAGAAGCGGGGGAUAACACCUGGAAACAGAUGCUAAUACCGCAUAACAACUUGGACCGCAUGGUCCGAGCUUGAAAGAUGGCUUCGGCUAUCACUUUUGGAUGGUCCCGCGGCGUAUUAGCUAGAUGGUGGGGUAACGGCUCACCAUGGCAAUGAUACGUAGCCGACCUGAGAGGGUAAUCGGCCACAUUGGGACUGAGACACGGCCCAAACUCCUACGGGAGGCAGCAGUAGGGAAUCUUCCACAAUGGACGAAAGUCUGAUGGAGCAACGCCGCGUGAGUGAAGAAGGGUUUCGGCUCGUAAAACUCUGUUGUUAAAGAAGAACAUAUCUGAGAGUAACUGUUCAGGUAUUGACGGUAUUUAACCAGAAAGCCACGGCUAACUACGUGCCAGCAGCCGCGGUAAUACGUAGGUGGCAAGCGUUGUCCGGAUUUAUUGGGCGUAAAGCGAGCGCAGGCGGUUUUUUAAGUCUGAUGUGAAAGCCUUCGGCUCAACCGAAGAAGUGCAUCGGAAACUGGGAAACUUGAGUGCAGAAGAGGACAGUGGAACUCCAUGUGUAGCGGUGAAAUGCGUAGAUAUAUGGAAGAACACCAGUGGCGAAGGCGGCUGUCUGGUCUGUAACUGACGCUGAGGCUCGAAAGUAUGGGUAGCAAACAGGAUUAGAUACCCUGGUAGUCCAUACCGUAAACGAUGAAUGCUAAGUGUUGGAGGGUUUCCGCCCUUCAGUGCUGCAGCUAACGCAUUAAGCAUUCCGCCUGGGGAGUACGGCCGCAAGGCUGAAACUCAAAGGAAUUGACGGGGGCCCGCACAAGCGGUGGAGCAUGUGGUUUAAUUCGAAGCUACGCGAAGAACCUUACCAGGUCUUGACAUACUAUGCAAAUCUAAGAGAUUAGACGUUCCCUUCGGGGACAUGGAUACAGGUGGUGCAUGGUUGUCGUCAGCUCGUGUCGUGAGAUGUUGGGUUAAGUCCCGCAACGAGCGCAACCCUUAUUAUCAGUUGCCAGCAUUAAGUUGGGCACUCUGGUGAGACUGCCGGUGACAAACCGGAGGAAGGUGGGGAUGACGUCAAAUCAUCAUGCCCCUUAUGACCUGGGCUACACACGUGCUACAAUGGAUGGUACAACGAGUUGCGAACUCGCGAGAGUAAGCUAAUCUCUUAAAGCCAUUCUCAGUUCGGAUUGUAGGCUGCAACUCGCCUACAUGAAGUCGGAAUCGCUAGUAAUCGCGGAUCAGCAUGCCGCGGUGAAUACGUUCCCGGGCCUUGUACACACCGCCCGUCACACCAUGAGAGUUUGUAACACCCAAAGUCGGUGGGGUAACCUUUUAGGAACCAGC
rnacentral:rRNA from 1 species